AAGGAACGUGUCAGUAAUCUACAAACCACAACAUCAGUGGAACUUCCUUGUAACUACAAUAUUUUUCUCUUUCAGAACAAGUGCUCAGAGCUAUUGAAGAGCUGCUUUGACAACGUGGGCCCACUGCACUGGAGGAAGCUGUUUCCCCGUGGAGCUCCAGCAGUGCUUAGAGGGCUAAAAAACCUUCACCUGACAUCUUAUCAGCAAGGGGAAACCAGAUGUGACAGCGGUACGCACCGUUGUACUCCGAGGCCUCCCUGUUCUACUUGGUUAUGACCCCAGUGACUUCUACAACACCUGCUUCGAUUGUGACACUGAUGAGACCUGGGUAAAAGUAUCUGUCGGGGUGCUGACUGUUCUCCCUGAAGAUCUGCAACUCCUUCCAAAUCAGCUCCACCUUCACCCAAUGUCUACUGCCAUCAUUGUUGAGGGAGGUAUUGUAAUGGAUGAACUCCAGAACCUACCUGAGGCACUUUGCCUUUUGUUUGGAAUGUCAUACGCUUUGCAUUUAGACUACCCUAAAGCCAUGAAAAACACUUUCUGCUUCAUUCAAAGAGUGAUGCUUGGCUUGGGAGAGGACAAACUCCCACCAAAAUUGCAAAGUCUUAAAAAACUCUUGUUGAGUUAGAAUGCAAAUGUACGAGUGGAUUUAGUUGUUUUUUAUUGUUCACUAAAUUAACACACUCCACUCAAAUUGUCAGCCCAUGGGUUCAUCAGCAAGUAUAGAGGCUGUACAUGUAUGUAUAUUCAUUCACAUGUAUGUGAGAUCCAUUGCCAGUUAUUACCCUGUCAGGUUUUUGCGCUCAUUGAGUAAAGCCACUUUGCACUUUUUUUUUAUUUUUUAUAUAUAUGUAGUUUUUAUUUAGUGAUUUUUGAGUAACAUUAUUCAGGAAUACAAAAGUGCACUUGUCAGCUUGUGGGUUAUUUCCCAUUGGUGGGAAAGAACUGUUGUGUUUACUGUAUUAUUGAUCUUGAUAUUGAUAUUGAGCUGUGUUUGUGGAUGUCUUUCAAGGCAAUCUUUAAGAAAAAAAGUUGAUAUAAAUGGAAGAAAAAUUAAAAACAAUUGAUAUAUUUGAACAUUCAA